GACGUAGGUGGCGAACGUUAUCCGGAAUUAUUGGGCGUAAAGGGUGCGUAGGUGGCUUGAAAAGUUAUCAGUGGCAAAUCGAGGCUUAACCUCGCGGAAACUGGUAAUACUGUUUGGCUCGAGUGCAGGAGAGGUUAACGGAACUCUAUGUGGAGCGGUAAAAUGCACAGAUAUAUAGAAGAACACCAAUAACGGCGAAGGCAGUUAACUAUUCUGUUACUGACACUGAGGCACGAAAGCGUGGGGAGCAAACAGG
rnacentral:rRNA from 1 species